rnacentral:tRNA from 1 species
GGGUUACAGUUGGUUAGAGCUCUCGGCUCAUAACCGAGCGGUCGAGUGUUCGAGUCACUCAGAACCCACCA